rnacentral:rRNA from 1 species
GCGCAGCAGGCGAGAAACCUCUGCAAUAGGCGAAAGCCUGACAGGGUUACUCUGAGUGAUCUCCGUUAAGGAGAUCUUUUGGCACCUCUAAAAAUGGUGCAGAAUAAGGGGUGGGCAAGUCUGGUGUCAGCCGCCGCGGUAAUACCAGCACCCCGAGUGGUCGGGACGUUUAUUGGGCCUAAAGCAUCCGUAGCCGGUUCUACAAGUCUUCCGUUAAAUCCAGCUGCUUAACAGAUGGGCUGCGGAAGAUACUAUGGAGCUAGGAGGCGGGAGAGGCAAGCGGUACUCGAUGGGUAGGGGUAAAAUCCGUUGAUCCAUUGAAGACCACCAGUGGCGAAGGCGGCUUGCCAGAACGCGCUCGACGGUGAGGGAUGAAAGCUGGGGGAGCAAACCGGAUUAGAUACCCCCGUAGUCC